CGAUGCGAUCAUACCAGCACUAAUGCACCGGAUCCCAUCAGAACUCCGAAGUUAAGCGUGCUUGGGCGAGAGUAGUACUAGGAUGGUGACCCCUGGGAAGUCCUCGUGUUGCAUCCC
rnacentral:rRNA from 1 species